UACGUAGGGUGCGAGCGUUAAUCGGAAUUACUGGGCGUAAAGCGUGCGCAGGCGGUUUUGUAAGCCAGAUGUGAAAUCCCCCGGGCUUAACCUGGGAACUGCAUUGGUGACUGGCGGGCUAGAGUAUGGCAGAGGGGGGGUAGAAUUCCACGUGUAGCAGUGAAAUGCGUAGAGAUGUGGAGGAAUACCGAUGGCGAAGGCAGCCCCCUGGGCCAAUACUGACGCUCAUGCACGAAAGCGUGGGGAGCAAACAGG
rnacentral:rRNA from 1 species